rnacentral:misc_RNA from 1 species
GAGAGAGAGAGAGAGAGAUACAAAGCUUGGUUUGACGCCUGUUGAGUAGUUUGCCUUUCUAAUUAUCAAAUAAUUUUGCUGAUUGUUUUUAUUUCUCGUUAUGGGGAGAAAAGUCUGGAGGGGUUUAGAAAUUGCUCCUGAUUAACCAGUUGGCUUGAUGAAAUUUGUCAUGGUGGAAGUAAGUGCAAGUGCUUGCUUACCAUUUGUAAGCUCAUCACAGUGUUAGGUUUAUGAUGUUGGUGAGAUGUCGAUCAUCUAGACUCAUAUCAUUUAUAUACAGAGUUUAGAUCGGUUCAUAUUGAAAUUCCCAUUAUUUUCUGCAAUAUGCAGACCUUGGAUUUGGUGCUUUACGCUUACAUAUUACUAGUUCUUGUAACCAUUUUAGACAGUAUCCUGUUUGGUAACACAGAUUUACGGUUAAAAAAAUCCGAUCUACACUGUAUUCCUGAUUUAAUGUUUGUAAUCUAGUUUUAGUGAUAAUAUUCUCUAAACCUGUCAAUUUAAUUUGUGAAACAGUUCUUUAAGUAUAAAAGUACUGGCAUAGCUUUAUUGGUCACUAUAAUCAGCUCUAAGCAUUCAGAGGGCACAGUUAUAGUUUUAGGUUAUGUCAGUUUGUCCAAAUCCUAGACUUUUGUUUUUUUACUUUCAGCUUUGUCAUCAGUCACUGUUCUAAGUCUUCCUAUUUAUUUAAUCAGCUUAAAUUUGAAGAUGAGAAUUUUGUACAAUUAAAGAGAAGUAUAAAAUUGAUGUUCAAAGAAAGUGCAACUAUGAAGUAUGAAGCUUCAAAAUAAAUAAAUAAAUAGUAAGCUGUGAAAUUUAUCUUCCUAAGCGGCAAGCCAUACAAUUGGGCAAGCACUCUGAGAUAUUGAUGCAUUGGCUGGCCAUCAUUCAUUACAGCACAUUGAUCAAGAAGAUCGGCUUACCUAUUAUUUGAACUGUCAUUACAGUUUGUAGAAGUGAGGUCUAUUCAUGAGCAGAAGUUUGAUGGCAUUUUACUUUUUAAUCUUUUCUUGAUGAAUGUGGUAGUGCCUGUAGUUCAAUGAGCAAUUCACAUGCAAUAAAACCUAGUUUUCUUUUAUUUUAUUCCAAAUAACAUUUGACUACUUAAAAUGAGGAUUGGUUUUCUCUCAUCUUGAUGAGAUUCUUAUCUCAGGAGAAGUCAUCUGUACCAUCACGUGAUGAAGAUUACUUGCAACGGCGAGAUGAACAGCGCUCUGGAUUAAAAGGAGGCCCUUUCUCUCAGAGGGACUCUAGACUUCGUAAUGCUAGUCCUGACCCAUAUUAUGUUGACAAAUCCAAGAUAAAUGAUAAGAGUGCUGAACCUAGUGAGGUGUUAUGGAUAGGUUUUCCAGCCUUGUUGAAGGUAGAUGAAAUGAUCUUAAGAAAGGCUUUUUCACCAUUUGGUGAGAUUGAAAAGAUUACCGUAUUUCCAGGCCGUAGUUAUGCUUUUGUUCGGUUUAGGAGCUUAACGUCAGCAUGCAGAGCAAAAGAAACCCUUCAGGGAAAAUUAUUUGGAAAUCCUCGUGUACAUAUUUGUUUUGCUAAGAGUGAAGCUGGCUCAUCUAGUAGUGGGAGGACACCUCUCUCUCCAUAUUAUAAGUCAAAUGGUCACUCAGGAGCUUCUGAGAACUUUCGGCAGGAUAGGAAUUUUGGAAGCUUAAUGUCAGAUACCAGCAUUAGAUCUCCUCGUUAUAUGUCAAAUUUAGAUUCAGACUCUGAUGUCCAUGGCUUCAACAGGAAGGGUAUGUUGUAUCCUGGUGGAAGCAAUACGUUUGAUAAUUGGAGGUUUGGGGAAGAACUAGGACCACCACCAGAUGUGUAUGAACGCCGUGGGAGUCCUACAAGAGAAAGGGGCCCUAACUUUGACGAAUUUGCCCAGAAAUUUCCUCAGAAGUCUUCAUAUUAUGAAGAACCUUGGGACUUGCCUGAAGAUUCCUAUAUGUUCCGUGGAGCCAAAAAAUUGAAGACAGGCUCCUUUCCUCCUGACAAAGAGCUUCCAGAAUAUCCUUUCUCUGACCUAGAAGAGGAGAAACAAGCUUUUCCAAGAGCAUUCUCUGAUUUUCCCCAACCUGAGUCAUUUGAAAAGAACUAUGGAUAUAAGCCAAACUCUGACCGCCUAAGUUCUUUAUCUCUUCCUCUUGAAGAAAGGAGUGAUCACUGGAAAGCUUCUUAUGACAAUUUCCGGAAUGGCUCUGGUUCUGUGCCUUCAGACCCUGUUGAGAGGAAAAGAUUCACUCCUGAGCCGGAACAAUCCUCUUUGAACCUAUGGAAAUGGGAAGGAACUAUAGCAAAGGGUGGAACUCCUGUCUGUCAUGCCCGUGGCUUUCCUGUAGGAAAGUCCCUGGACAUCAUGUUGUAAGUAGUGAAUGCUUCUUCUUUUGGCUUUUGAUUAGUCACCGUUUGCUUUAACACCAACUAAGUGAUCCCUUCCAUAAGCUAACUUUGUUUAUCCGCAGCAAUUAGGAUACCAAUUUGACAGGUGUACCACUUCUUUACAUGAAUGCGUUGUUUUCUCAUUGUUUUAUUCUGUUCUUGUGAGUGGUUUAUUCCCAAAAAUAAAAAAAUGCAUCAAGAUGACUGGGUAUCCAGGAAGCAAAAUGCUUCCAUUUUGUUCUCCGUGACCAUAGCAUAUGAGGACACUUAAUAUUAUCAGUUGCAUUGAGGCAUAUCAUGCAUUUUGUCCAGAAAUUUUGGCCACCCUUGCUCAGUGAUGAUCGUCUUUUGAUGCCAGGCCAUGAUUGAAUAAUGACAUACCAUUAAUUUUUAUUACUUGAACAAUUUUGGUGAAAGUUUUUUAAUUGCCUCAACUUUCAAUUGAGAAAGUAUAUGUUUUAUAUUGGACUUCUCAUUUGAUUCUGUCGUGCUACCUUGCUAGCACAUGCUAAUUUUGAGGCUAAAUUUUUCCUGAUAUCUAAUUUUGUUCAUGGAUUUAAUCUGACCAUGAACUUCUCUUGAUGUUACAAAUAAAUGUUACAAAGAACAAAUAUUUGCCAAAUAUGAUAUUUAAAUGUGUGAAUUAGAGAGUUUAGUUUAGAAAAUCAUAUGCAACAAUGAUGAAUGGGGUUGAGCUUCGGUGCAAACAGUAAGGUUCAGGUCAUGGAAACAUCUUUUGACCCUUUUAUAGGGGUAAGCCUCAUGCACUGUGGACACCCAGCUUUGUGAUUACUGAUAAUUUGAUGAACCACCUUGUAUUAUUCUGCCUUUUCUUUUCUAUCUUCUUCUCUUUUUUCCCCUAAUUGGACUUGCAUUCUGAAAUUAUUGAAUAACAAUGACAUUUAUGCUUCAGACCUGAAUUUCUGGAUUGCACUGCAAGGACUGGUCUAGACAUGCUUGCGAAGCACUACUAUCAAGCAGCUUCUGCUUGGGUUGUUUUCUUUGCCCCUGCUAGUGAUGCUGACAUUGGGUACUACAAUGAAUUCAUGCAUUAUCUUGAGGAGAAGCAGCGAGCUGCAGUUGCUAAAUUGGAUGAUAAAACCACCUUGUUUCUUGUACCCCCAUCUGAUUUCGCAGAGAAAGUACUGAGAGUACCUGGGAAACUAUGUAUUUCUGGCGUUGUUUUGAGAUUAGAGCUCCCUGGUUCAAAUUUUGGGUCUCUUAUCCAUCCAAAUGAGAAAAGGGAAACAUUG